CACGCAGGCGGUCAUACAAGUCAGCUGUUAAAUGCAUGGGCUUAACCGAUGCAUGCGGUUGAAACUGUAUGGCUAGAGUACUGGAGAGGUAAGCGGAAUUCCCGGUGUAGCGGUGAAAUGCGUAGAUAUCGGGAAGAACACCAGUGGCGAAGGCGGCUUACUGGCCAGUAACUGACGCUGAGGUGCGAAAGCCAGGGGGAGCGAACC
rnacentral:rRNA from 1 species